UAUUGAUGGAGAUGAAGUGCCGAGCUCUCCACAGCCCUCCCUCACGCCCUGCGGUGGCUUCACGGGGCACCCGAGCCCGGCGUGGGCAGGCCUGUGGCCGGCUCCACGCUGCCCGCUCCACCUCAGGUGGCCGCGCAGAAAUACAUCGCAGCCCGUGAAGAUUCACAGAUGCACCCAGAAUCCCCCAAACGGCUGCUGAGCGCUGGAGGACCUGUGAUGCGGGACCUUCAUGUAACACCACAUCCACGACGUCAGCCACAGUCUACAUUCACAGCACGGUCCGUGGAAGAGGAAAUACUUUUCUGGCGCUAGACGUCGUCUGCAGAGAGGGCUGGGACGUUCAUCCGAGGCCGGGUGAAAAACGCCAUCUUCUCCCUGUUAAAAAUUGAGAUUCUGCCUGGCUGGCGUGGCUCAGUGGUUGAGCAUCGACCUGUGCACCAAGAGGUCGCCAGUUCAAUUCCCAGUCAAGGCACAUGCCCAGGUCAUCAGUGCGG